AUGAUCCGACCUAAGCGGGCAGGGGGUAUUGGGUUCAGGGAUAUGCAUCUUUUCAACAUUGCUCUCCUUGCGAAACAAGGCUAGAGACUGCUACAGAAGCCGGAUAGUCUUUGCGCGAGAGUGAUCAAGUCCAAAUACUACCCGCAUGGAAAUCUGCUUGAUACGGUGUUCGCAUCGGAUGCGUCACCUGUUUGGAGAGGCAUUGAGGCUGGCCUUGAACUGCUCAAAAAAGGCAUCAUAUGGAGAGUGGACAACGGCAAGAGCAUCCAAAGGGACCAAUGGAUUCCUCGAAGAGAGGGCCUACGGACGACAGCGUUCACUAGGCGCACGAGGCUUAGAUGGGUCAAUCAGUUAAUGUACGAGGAAAGAAAAGAGUGGAACACGGACCUCAUUAACCAAAUCUUCCAUGAUUUUGAUGCAGAAGAAAUCUGCAAGAUGCCAUACCGAAAUCAAAUGCAGUGGACAACAUCGCCUGGCACUAUGAGAAGAACGGGAUUUUCUCGGUGA
rnacentral:rRNA from 1 species